UGGAUUGCCGCGGAGCUCCUGCCGCCGCCGCAGCCUCCGCCGCAGCGAAGAGGCCAUGUUGUGUGGUGUGUGGGGCGGGGGGAGGAGGAGGAGGGAGUAAAGCCGAGCGAGGAGACGGGAGAGACACCACACACGGCACAAGAUGGCCGGAGAGGCAGCAGCAGCCCGAGCUGUCAGGCGGCCUGUCGCGGCCCGCGGGCCGGUUGCUGCGCUGGGAGCAGUCCCGGGACGUCCCGGAGGGCUCCGGGAGAGCGGGGAGGCCGCGGCCGAGGCAAGGCGGCCGUGCGCGGGUGCGGGAGCCCGCUGCCGAGGCGCCCGCGGAGGCCGGGCCCGCGACGCCCGGGGCUGCGCUGCGGCAGCGCCGGGGCUGGUGGCGCGCGCGGUCGGGAGGCGGCCCGCGCCGUGGGCGGGAGGCCGCGGCGGGCGCCCCGUCCGCGAGGCGCGGGCAAGAGCGAGCCGAUGGCGUCGGCGGCCGCUCUUCGACCCGGUAACUUCCAAGAUUAUAAUUAGUGUGGUUGCUGAUGAUUCUGAAUAA
rnacentral:lncRNA from 1 species